UUCGUUCGAUUUUUGAUAGCAAAUUUAAUAAAUCUGGUAUGGUACGAGCUGUGUAUGUAAAAACAGAUAAUGGAGUGUUAUUUGAGAUUAAACCCCAUGUCCGUUUACCAAGAACGUGUAGGCGCUUUUGUGGAGUCAUGCUGGAGUUACUAGAUAAAAAAUGCAUACGGACCAAAGAUACAAAUGAAAUUCUUAAGCGCGUCAUUGCGGAACCUGUAACCCGACAUUUACGAGUCAACUCUAGUGUAGUAGGUGGGUGCAGAAACCCAUGGGAAGAUCAAUGAGUAUACAGAUAAUUUUAUAUCAGUUUCAAAUUAUCCAUUGAGUGCAAAAGGCUGCAUAGGGUUGAUUUGCGAGUCGUUGGAGCAUAAAUGGAAGAUCUUUUGAGUCAUAUAUAUCUAAGUUAUUAAAUACUAAUUAAGGUUUGUAAAAGCGCCGAAGAUAUCUAAACAUGAGUUUAGCUCAAAAAAAAAAAAAAAAAGAAGGGUAGUUAUUCAAUUUGAUGAAGUCAAUUUCUUCGACACUGAAAGGUAGAGGCCAGCACAAUACUAGUAAGGCCAAGUUGAGCUGAUUUCCAUCACUGCCGAAAAUAACUAACUUGUUGAUCGUCGUCAUCAGUUCUCGGUGUCAAAUGCAUCUAUCAGGAUGGUCAAAGUUGAAUUAAUUCAUGUACUCAUUUAAGUUCCUUCUCGAUCAGUUAGAUUAUGAUAAAAGGAAUCCUGGUUAACAAGAACAAGACGCUGAUCAUGAAGAUUCUGUAUAAUCUUAUCGCAAACUGUAGUCUUACCAGAAGCUGCCCCACCAGCAAAACGAACCGAUGUUCAGAGAGACGGAGAAAGAGAGUUUUAUUUUAUAUUGCGGUUGCAAACUUGCAGAUGUUGUAAAUAUAAGCAUUUAUGUGUGAUUGCAUAAAUAAAAGUAGGAAUUUAACAUGGCUCGUCGGUUAGGAUCAUGUACUUAUUGUAUCUGUUAAGGGAUUCCUAAACCGCCAUUCAAUACUACGGUCUGGUGAUAUUCCUCUUCACUUGGAAGUGAAAGGUUUUAGGUUCGAAUCUCGUGGAUGACGAAUUGGAUACUAAAUUAAGUUGCCCAUUGUGUAACUUAGGCGAACUCCCCCUCUUCCUAGUAUAAA